rnacentral:rRNA from 1 species
UUUCGUGCUCUAUACAUGCAGUCGAGCGAAUGGAUUAAGAGCUUGCUCUUAUGAAGUUAGCGGCGGACGGGUGAGUAACACGUGGGUAACCUGCCCAUAAGACUGGGAUAACUCCGGGAAACCGGGGCUAAUACCGGAUAACAUUUUGAACCGCAUGGUUCGAAAUUGAAAGGCGGCUUCGGCUGUCACUUAUGGAUGGACCCGCGUCGCAUUAGCUAGUUGGUGAGGUAACGGCUCACCAAGGCAACGAUGCGUAGCCGACCUGAGAGGGUGAUCGGCCACACUGGGACUGAGACACGGCCCAGACUCCUACGGGAGGCAGCAGUAGGGAAUCUUCCGCAAUGGACGAAAGUCUGACGGAGCAACGCCGCGUGAGUGAUGAAGGCUUUCGGGUCGUAAAACUCUGUUGUUAGGGAAGAACAAGUGCUAGUUGAAUAAGCUGGCACCUUGACGGUACCUAACCAGAAAGCCACGGCUAACUACGUGCCAGCAGCCGCGGUAAUACGUAGGUGGCAAGCGUUAUCCGGAAUUAUUGGGCGUAAAGCGCGCGCAGGUGGUUUCUUAAGUCUGAUGUGAAAGCCCACGGCUCAACCGUGGAGGGUCAUUGGAAACUGGGAGACUUGAGUGCAGAAGAGGAAAGUGGAAUUCCAUGUGUAGCGGUGAAAUGCGUAGAGAUAUGGAGGAACACCAGUGGCGAAAGCGACUUUCUGGUCUGUAACUGACACUGAGCGCGAAAGCGUGGGGAGCAACAGGAUUAGAUACCCUGGUAGUCCACGCCGUAACGAUGAGUGCUAAGUGUUAGAGGGUUUCCGCCCUUUAGUGCUGAAGUUAACGCAUUAAGCACUCCGCCUGGGGAGUACGCGCAAGCUGAAACUCAAAGAAUGACGGGGCUCGCACAGCGUGAGCAUGUGUUUAUCGAGCACGCGAGACUACAGUCUGACAUCUCUGACACCUAAGAUAGCUCUCUCGAGCGAUGACAGUGGUGCAUGGUGUCGUCAGCUCAGUCUGAAGGUAGUUAGUCCGCACGAGCACCUGACUAGUGCAUCAUUAGUGUCACUAGGUACUGCGGUACACCGAGACGUG